CGGAAAGGCCCUUUCGGGGGUACUCGAGCGGCGAACGGGUGAGUUACACGUGAGUUAUCUGCCCUUGGCUUCGGGAUAGCCACCGGAAACGGUGAUUAAUACCGGAUACGACACAUCACUGCAUGGUGCGUGUGUGGAAAGUUUUUUCGGCCAGGGAUGUGCUCGCGGCCUAUCAGCUUGUUGGUGGGGUAAUGGCCUACCAAGGCUUCGACGGGUAGCCGGCCUGAGAGGGUGACCGGCCACACUGGGACUGAGACACGGCCCAGACUCCUACGGGAGGCAGCAGUGGGGAAUAUUGGACAAUGGGCGGAAGCCUGAUCCAGCAACGCCGCGUGAGGGAUGACGGCCUUCGGGUUGUAAACCUCUUUCAGCACAGACGAAGCGCAAGUUACGGUAUGUGCAGAAGAAGGACCGGCCAACUACGUGCCAGCAGCCGCGGUAAUACGUAGGGUCCGAGCGUUGUCCGGAAUUAUUGGGCGUAAAGGGCUCGUAGGCGGUUUGUCGCGUCGGGAGUGAAAACACCGGGCUUAACUCGGUGCUUGCUUUCGAUACGGGCAGACUAGAGGUAUUCAGGGGAGAACGGAAUUCCUGGUGUAGCGGUGAAAUGCGCAGAUAUCAGGAGGAACACCGGUGGCGAAGGCGGUUCUCUGGGAAUAUCCUGACGCUGAGGAGCGAAAGUGUGGGGAGCGAACAGGAUUAGAUACCCUGGUAGUCCACACCGUAAACGUUGGGCGCUAGGUGUGGGGUCCAUUCCACGGAUUCCGUGCCGCAGUAA
rnacentral:rRNA from 1 species